GACGAACGCUGGGCGGCGUGCCUAAUACAUGCAAGUCGAGCGAAGUUUUUCUGGUGCUUGCACUAGAAAAACUUAGCGGCGAACCGGGUGAGUAACACGUAAAAGAACCUGCCUCAUAGACUGGGACAACUAUUGGAAACGAUAGCUAAUACUGGAUAACAGCAUUAACUGCAUGGUUGAUGUUUGAAAGUUGGUUAUGCUAACACUAUGAGAUGGCUUUGCGGUGCAUUAGCUAGUUGGUGGGGUAAAGGCCCACCAAGGCGACGAUGCAUAGCCGACCUGAGAGGGUGAUCGGCCACACUGGGACUGAGACACGGCCCAGACUCCUACGGGAGGCAGCAGUAGGGAAUCUUCCGCAAUGGGCGAAAGCCUGACGGAGCAACGCCGCGUGAGUGAAGAAGGAUUUCGGUUCGUAAAGCUCUGUUGUUAGGGAAGAAUGGAUAUGUAGUAACUAUACAUGUAAGAGACGUACCUAA
rnacentral:rRNA from 1 species